UCUUGCCCAAAUUCAAACAAGCAUCUUUUUCCCAAUAAAGGAUUGCAAAUGUUAGAAUGGCCUAUACAAUUUUCCGACAAUGGAUCAUAUGUCUGAUUGAUGCUACUAUAAUGCAUAAGAAGAAUAUACAAAUCUUUCUUGCAUGGAUUACAAAAGGAUUAAGGUAGCAUAAAAGUUCACAUAACAUCUUCAUGAUUUAUCUUGUAGUGAGAGCACUAACAGAAAAGAAUUAAGGGAGCAUCUUCUCUUUCUAGGAUAAUUCCAUUGCACCCUAAUGAACACCGCCAGCUCAUCGGCCCCGAGAGCUUCCACAUCCACCUCCCACCGGUUUUGUUCCCUCGUGCUCAUCUGAGCCACCGAGAUCUUCGACCAUGCAGCAGCUUGACGCGCCCUUUUCGUCUCAGCCAGGAAAGUGGUCUCCUCUAUCUCCAGCUUUAUUCCGUCAACCCUGACGGUGGCCUUCCUUGCCAUUUUGAACAAGCUGGAGACGGUGAGCUAUGGAUCUCGAGGAGGUAGGUGCAGAGGACGGAGUCGGUGGUGGGUGCUUUGUAGGCUUUGGGCUCGCCAGUGGGGAGAACGGGAUGACGGCGAUGUGGGUGCCGAACUCCUAGGAGAGGUUUUCGCCAUGGAAAAGAGUGUGUUGGUGCGCUCCAAGAAGCUUGUCUGGCACUGAGCCAUGCUGGUGGAUUUGGGCAUCAAGGACGAGCAGCUCGUUGGGCAGCAGUGGAGAUUGGAAAGAUGUAGGGAAGAGAGCAAAGGCAAUGAACAAUAAGGGAUUUCUUUUGUGCCUUAAAUUGGGAGCAAAGCAUAGAGGACUAUCAGCUUAUAUAAGAAGAUAUGCAACAUAAGUUCCUCUAUUAUGAAAUAAUGAACAAACCAUGACCGUUCUUAUUAGAUUGCAUUCUUAAGUACACAUAUAUGGUACAUCCCUA
rnacentral:lncRNA from 1 species